GACGAACCGUGCGAACGUUGUUCGGAAUCACUGGGCUUAAAGGGCGCGUAGGCGGGCUAUCAAGUCCGGGGUGAAAUCCUCCAGCUUAACUGGAGAACUGCCUCGGAUACUGAUGGUCUCGAGGAGGAUAGGGGCACACGGAACUGUGGGUGGAGCGGUGAAAUGCGUUGAUAUCCAUAGGAACUCCGGUGGCGAAGGCGGCACGCUGGACCUCUUCUGACGCUGAGGCGCGAAAGCCAGGGGAGCAAACGGG
rnacentral:rRNA from 1 species